rnacentral:rRNA from 1 species
UACGUAGGGGGCAAGCGUUGUCCGGAUUUAUUGGGCGUAAAGAGCGUGUAGGCGGCUUUGCAAGUCCGUUGUGAAAACUCGAGGCUCAACCUCGAGACGCCGGUGGAAACUGCAAAGCUAGAGUCCGGAAGAGGCGAGUGGAAUUCCCGGUGUAGCGGUGAAAUGCGCAGAUAUCGGGAGGAACACCUAUGGCGAAGGCAGCUCGCUGGGACGUUACUGACGCUGAGACGCGAAAGCGUGGGGAGCAAACAGG